GACAAGAAGCAAUGGGCUUAAAUUGCAGAAAGGGCGAUUUAGGAUGGCAUUAGGAAAACCUUCCUAACUGUCAGGGUGGUGAAGCAUUUGAAUAAAGUGCCUAGGGAAGUUAUGGAAUCUCCAUCAUUGGAGAUUUUAAAAAGCAGGUUAGACAAACACUUGUCAGGGAUGGU